rnacentral:lncRNA from 1 species
UGUUGGCUAGUGCAACCUCAAGUCACUGAGUUUUUUUUCUUUUUUCUUUAAAGAUGUCCGUCUCCCAGGACCAAGUCUGUGGAUGUGGGGACGGAGCUGAAAGGCAGGUGCCUUGCUGCACUCAGGUGCACGACGCCUCCCACCCCCAUGAUGAAGGCUUUGUUCCCAGCGGCUUCAGCUGCCUGAGUCCUUCUUCGCUCGCACUGGGCUCCUUUACGUGAAGAGAUCUCCGGUGGCCUCAACAGUAAGCCAGUCACACAGGAAAAUCCGAAAAGAAGAAGAAAGCUCCAUCGUCCUUCUGAUAGUGUUUCGUGGAAAUACAACAGCCCAGUCGGAAGUGCAUGUUCCGGUGUCAUCUUCACAACCACUGUCAUCUGUGCGUAAAACGAGCCCUUCAACCUUCAGUCAUUAAUUAAUUGUUCAUUUCACACUUAGUCCUUUCAUAAAUUCAUGUUUGCACAGUACAUUCAUACGUUGACAUUUUCACCUCAAGGCAGUUUUUAUGCAAAGAGAAUUAUCUCACUCAGCGAUUGAUCCCACAGUGAGACAAAUUCCCCCAGCUAUCUUCUUCUAAAACUCCUAACUUUUAUAAAGCACAGUGACUCUUUCAGGCCACUGCAGUGGUGGCCCAGUCGAAAUGCUAUGCUAGCUUUCUGGAAGAGUUAAUUGACUUCAAGGCUAGGUAACGUGCCCUAGAGAAGAUAAACAACUGGGAAAAAGCAUCUCGAAGCAGGCGAUUGCUCCGCACUUACUUACCCCAAGAUUUCGGGGGACAGUGGGGACUUAUAUUCUUAAUACUGGAUUUGAAAUGUGGAAUGUUGAAGGAUUGAGAAGUACUAAGGGCUGAGACCCAGCACCUUCUGUGUAUGAUGAGCACAUAAGUCAUCCUUCUUUGGUGAAAACAGCCUCCAAGUUGUUUUGCCAAACCAAGCCUCUCUAACAGUAGGAGAUUGUCAAGGCUUCAAUUAGUAAAUCCCUAAGCACCAAAGUUAAUGAUGUGAGCAGUGAAAAGCGGUGGGAAACUCAUUCCCAGGGAAGGGAAGAGUCCGAUCAGCCGUCAUCGCCGCCGGGCACAAAGAAGGGCUGGAGUCCACCACCAAAAGAGGUGUUUGCAUUGCCACCAAAAAAGGAAGCAAAACUAUUUAAUCAUUAUUCUUGUUAGGUAAGAUUCAGUAACAUUUUUCCAAGCAAUAAAAUACUACAGAGAACACUUGGAUGCUGACUGCUCUUAAGACAGUAGCUCAAGUCUUAGGCACAAUCAGGGAAAAUAUGAACAUAUAGUUAAGGAAUUAACGAAAA